GAAACACUUCAACAUGGCCAUUAAAACAAACAGCGGCUUAUUAUGGUCAUUACAAGAUCGACAUAAAUUGGAAAAUAUAACACCAAAUACUGGAAAAAUUAGUCUCUAAAAUUACCAGAAGACCCCUUGACUUGCAAAAUCAAGAACGCAGUUUCUGGCUCAUACUUUCUGUACUCAAUCUUCAGAUGAUAGAUUUAGUACUCCUUGUUUCCAAAAUUCUUGCACCAGAGCUGUGACGGAAUCGGCCGAACGGGAUUGUGCGGCCGUUGCUCAAGCUCUGCAGAUUUCAUAGCGAUAGGGAUGCAGACUAGAACGAUGCCAGCCAUGGCAAUAGCGGUAUUGCGUUUCCAAUGCUUGGGCCGGCAAUAAGGUCCUCCGCUCAUGCUCCAAACCUUAGCCCUAAAAUCCCCAUGGGCUUCCCCAUGUGCAUGUUCACCUCCACCCAUGGUUCCAAUGCUGAAACCUUUGUUGCGAGUUGCUGCCUUGAAGAUUGAAGAAGCUGAUCGGCGUUAGUGCGUGAGGAGAGUGGAGAAG
rnacentral:misc_RNA from 1 species